AGUGAACCAGUACCGUGAGGGAAAGGUGAAAAGAACCCUGAACAAGGGAGUGAAAUAGAACCUGAAACCGUACGCUUACAAGCGGAGGGAGCCUACGGGUGACCUCGUGCCUUUUGCAUAAUGAUCCUACGAGUUACUCCUCACUAGCGAGGUUAAGGAUUUAAGAUCCGAAGUCGAAGCGAAAGCGAGUCUGAAUAGGGCGAAUUAGUUAGUGGGGGUAGACGCGAAACUUGGUGAUCUACCCAUGAGCAGGUUGAAGUUGCAGUAACAUGUAAUGGAGGACCGAACCAGUAAACGUUGAAAAGUUUUUGGAUGACUUGUGGGUAGGGGUGAAAGGCCAAUCAAACUGAGAGAUAGCUCGUACUCCCCGAAAUGCAUUUAGGUGCAGCGUUGAGCAUUAUAGUUAUAGAGGUAGAGCUACUGAUUGGGCUAGGGGGCUUCACCGCCUACCAAACCCUAAUAAACUCCGAAUGCUAUAACUUUUACUCAGCAGUGAGGGCAUGGGUGCUAAGGUCCAUGUCCGAGAGGGAAACAACCCAGACCAUCAGCUAAGGUCCCUAAAUAUAUACUAAGUUGAACUAACGAGGUUCGAUUGCUUUGACAGCUAGGAUGUUGGCUUGGAAGCAGCCAUUCAUUUAAAGAGUGCGUAACAGCUCACUAGUCGAGCGAUUGAGCAUGGAUAAUAAUCGGGCAUAAAGUAUAUUACCGAAGCUAUGGAAUUGUUAGCAAUAACAAAUUGGUAGGGGAGCAUUCUAGUCAGCGUUGAAGGUGUAUCGUAAGGUAUGCUGGAGCGUCUAGAAAAGAAAAUGUAGGAAUAAGUAACGAUAAGGCAGGCGAGAAACCUGCCCACCGAUAGACUAAGGUUUCCUGAUCAACGCUAAUCGGAUCAGGGUUAGUCGGGACCUAAGGCGAACCCGAAAGGGGUAGUCGAUGGAUAACAGGUUAAUAUUCCUGUACUAGCAUAUAUUGCGAUGGGGUGACGGAGUAGUGAAAGGUCUGCGUACUGACGGAAUAGUACGUUGAAGAGUGUAGGUAUUAGACUUAUAGGAAAAUCCGUAAGACUAGCUGAACUUGAUAGUACCAAGAGCCUUCGGGCAAUUGGAUAAUGACCCUAAUCAGACUUCCAAGAAAAACCUCUAAGCUUCAGAUAUAUGCUACUCGUACCGCAAACCGACACAGGUAGUCAAGGAGAGAAUCCUAAGGUGCUCGAGUGAUUCAUGGUUAAGGAACUAGGCAAAAUCGCCUCGUAACUUCGGGAGAAGAGGCGCCCUGGUGUAAGAACCAGGGCCGCAGUGAAAAGGCCCAGGCGACUGUUUAUCAAAAACACAUGGCUUUGCUAAAUCGAAAGAUGACGUAUAAGGCCUGACACCUGCCCGGUGCCGGAAGGUUAAAAGGAGAUGUUAUCCUCGGAGAAGCAUUGAAUUGAAGCCCCGGUAAACGGCGGCCGUAACAAUAACGGUCCUAAGGUAGCGAAAUUCCUUGUCGGGUAAGUUCCGACCUGCACGAA
rnacentral:rRNA from 1 species